rnacentral:rRNA from 1 species
AACGAACGCUGGCGGCAGGCUUAACACAUGCAAGUCGAGCGCCUCGCAAGGGGAGCGGCAGACGGGUGAGUAACGCGUGGGAACAUGCCCAAAGGUACGGAACAACUCCGGGAAACUGGAGCUAAUACCGGAUGUGACCGAGAGGUGAAAGAUUUAUCGCCUUUGGAUUGGCCCGCGUUGGAUUAGCUAGUUGGUGGGGUAAAGGCCUACCAAGGCGACGAUCCAUAGCUGGUCUGAGAGGAUGAUCAGCCACACUGGGACUGAGACACGGCCCAGACUCCUACGGGAGGCAGCAGUGGGGAAUAUUGGACAAUGGGCGCAAGCCUGAUCCAGCGAUGCCGCGUGUGUGAUGAAGGCCUUAGGGUUGUAAAGCACUUUCGCCAGGGACGAUAAUGACGGUACCUGGAUAAGAAGCCCCGGCUAACUUCGUGCCAGCAGCCGCCGUAAAAC